CUAGAAACUCCUGGAGGGCAGAGGCAUGCCUGCCAUCUUCAUCAAUGCAUUACCACCACCCAACACUAUCGGGGGACCUGCCCUGAUAAUCAGGGACACAAUGCACUGUGGAAAGCCGCAGGGACCUCUGCCGUUGAAAGCUGGGUGUUGUUCAAAGUUUCUCCCCAUGUGAGAGUCUGAAAUAUGGCCUCGUGGGAUGAGAAAGACCUGACGGUCCCCAAGCCCGACACCUGUAAAAGGUCUGUGCUGAGGUGGAUUAGCCAAAGAAGAAAGCCUCUUGCAGUUGAGAGAGAGGAAGGCCGCUGUCUCCUGCCUGCCCCUGGGAACUGAAUGUCGCGGUAUAAAACACGAUUGUACAUUUGUUCAAUUCUGAGAUGGGAGAAAAACCGCCCUAUGGUGGGAGGCGAGACAUGUUUACAGCAAUGCUG
rnacentral:lncRNA from 1 species